GCCAUCCUACGGGAGGCAGCAGUGGGGGAUAUUGCACAAUGGGGGGAACCCUGAUGCAGCGACGCCGCGUGAAGGAAGAAGGCCCUCGGGUUGUAAACUUCUUUUAUUCGGGACGAAACAAAUGACGGUACCGAAUGAAUAAGCCACGGCUAACUACGUGCCAGCAGCCGCGGUAAUACGUAGGUGGCAAGCGUUAUCCGGAUUUACUGGGUGUAAGGGGCGUGUAGGCGGGAGAGCAAGUCAGACGUGAAAUUCCAGGGCUCAACCCUGGACCUGCGUUUGAAACUGUUCUUCUUGAGUGAUGG
rnacentral:rRNA from 1 species